rnacentral:tRNA from 4 species
GGGCGGAUAGUUCAGUGGUAGAAUAUCUGUUUUGCAUACAGAAGGUCCCGUGUUCAAUCCACGGUUCGUCCA